UUUUUUUUUUUUUUUCCUUUUGCAUUUUAAUAUGCAAGUUGGCUUUUUUGUAUUUAGUUUCAUAUGUCAUUGGCACUGUCCUAUUCUUUCUCCUCCCUUGACAAGCAGUGGUUCUGGUACACGUAGGCAGUAUUCACCCCACUAAACUAAAAAUCCUUUAUUUUCAGCUUGGAUAAUGAAUUAAGAAUUUGCAGUAGAAAUUGUCAUUCAGAGUUUUCAAUCCCUUGGUCAUCAUGCAGGUUUUUGUUGCCAAUCCCAACAAGCCACGAGAAGUAAAAGUAAUUUUGGC
rnacentral:misc_RNA from 1 species